rnacentral:tRNA from 1 species
GAAAGUCUUAAGUUAAUUAAACUACUAGCCUUCAAAGUUGAAAAUGAUAUCUUUCAGGCUUU